AUUUUUUAAGUUAGAAAACAACAACUCUCUCCCUCUCUCCCUCUCUCCCUCUCUCCCUCUACGCAAGCCAAAUAUUUUUGGAAUCAAAAAUAUAUAUAUUUAAGAAUCCAUUACUUUGGUCGAGUCGGGUCGGGUAAACGGGUACCCAAAUCCCGCCACAGGUCCAGCCGAUUUGUAUUGCGGCUUUCCUGAUCUCCUUAGUUACGGACUGACUCAGUGUCAGUGACUUCGUGAUCGAGUCAAUGCCGGGAUUGGGAAUUAAUGGCGAGCUCAGGAAUGAGGUAUGAGAUCUCCCAGAAUGCUUACAUCAACUUUGUCCUCCACUGGAGAUCUCUCUCGUCAUAUUUUGAAGGUUUGAAACCCAAACUAUGAAGCUUAGGAUCUGAUUGCGUUUGACGUGUAAAGAUGGUAAAUUUUGGAUCUUGAUUGCUUUGAAAUUUGAAUUGACGACAGGCAGGGAAGUAAUCCCCAGCAGCUGUUAAUAGAGCUUAGUGUCUGUCUACUAGGAAUUCAUUUAGAAAAGAUAGAGACCUUAAACCUUGUUUUGCUUGACUUUGAAACAAUACAUUGAUGACUUCGGGUUGUUGCUCUGAUGAAUCAGAUAGAGGAUUAUUACUUAGCUCAAGGUCUUAGGUAUUGUUAAUGAACGAAAGGUUUGAUGAUGUUGCGGCUUUGUGGGUGUGGCCAAGAACAUUUCUUGCUAUUUCCUCCAUGCUCCACUUUUCUUGGUGAGUAUCUUCCCUUCUACUUGGAGAAUGAUCAGAGCAAGAUGGAGGCAGCAAGCUACUCUUAUAGGAGCCAUCAGCUAAUAUUGUUUUAUCAGAUUUGCUUUUCAUCAGAGAAAAUGGAUGGACCUCGCUGACGUUGAUGAUCAUCUUGACAAUGUCACCUAGUAAACGAGGGACUGGCUCAACUCUGCAUUCCUCAGAUGUAUCUAAGUCAUACCUAUGCUUUUCAUCAUUAUCAUUUACCGUAAGCUUUUAGGGACUCUUGUUUGGAGAAAUAGAGUCGUGUUUACGUGUUUUUCAAAAUCCCCACAGAGCACAAGUGCUCAAAGUAUUUGUACAUCCUGAGACUCUGCAUUUUAAAUUGACAAGUGAAAUCAAAUUUCUUGGAGCUU